rnacentral:rRNA from 1 species
UAGGGAAUCUUCCACAAUGGACGCAAGUCUGAUGGAGCAACGCCGCGUAAGUGAAGAAGGUUUUCGGAUCGUAAAGCUCUGUUGUUGGUGAAGAAGGAUAGAGGCAGUAACUGGUCUUUAUUUGACGGUAAUCAACCAGAAAGUCACGGCUAACUACGUGCCAGCAGCCGCGGUAAUACGUAGGUGGCAAGCGUUGUCCGGAUUUAUUGGGCGUAAAGCGAGCGCAGGCGGAAUGAUAAGUCUGAUGUGAAAGCCCACGGCUCAACCGUGGAACUGCAUCGGAAACUGUCAUUCUUGAGUGCAGAAGAGGAGAGUGGAAUUCCAUGUGUAGCGGUGGAAUGCGUAGAUAUAUGGAAGAACACCAGUGGCGAAGGCGGCUCUCUGGUCUGCAACUGACGCUGAGGCUCGAAAGCAUGGGUAGCGAACAGG